rnacentral:rRNA from 1 species
AUUCGAUUAGAGUUUGAUCAUGGCUCAGGAUAAACGCUGGCGGCGUGCCUAAUACAUGCAAGUCGAGCGAACGGACGAGAAGCUUGCUUCUCUGAUGUUAGCGGCGGACGGGUGAGUAACACGUGGAUAACCUACCUAUAAGACUGGGAUAACUUCGGGAAACCGGAGCUAAUACCGGAUAAUAUUUUGAACCGCAUGGUUCAAAAGUGAAAGACGGUCUUGCUGUCACUUAUAGAUGGAUCCGCGCUGCAUUAGCUAGUUGGUAAGGUAACGGCUUACCAAGGCAACGAUGCAUAGCCGACCUGAGAGGGUGAUCGGCCACACUGGAACUGAGACACGGUCCAGACUCCUACGGGAGGCAGCAGUAGGGAAUCUUCCGCAAUGGGCGAAAGCCUGACGGAGCAACGCCGCGUGAGUGAUGAAGGUCUUCGGAUCGUAAAACUCUGUUAUUAGGGAAGAACAUAUGUGUAAGUAACUGUGCACAUCUUGACGGUACCUAAUCAGAAAGCCACGGCUAACUACGUGCCAGCAGCCGCGGUAAUACGUAGGUGGCAAGCGUUAUCCGGAAUUAUUGGGCGUAAAGCGCGCGUAGGCGGUUUUUUAAGUCUGAUGUGAAAGCCCACGGCUCAACCGUGGAGGGUCAUUGGAAACUGGAAAACUUGAGUGCAGAAGAGGAAAGUGGAAUUCCAUGUGUAGCGGUGAAAUGCGCAGAGAUAUGGAGGAACACCAGUGGCGAAGGCGACUUUCUGGUCUGUAACUGACGCUGAUGUGCGAAAGCGUGGGGAUCAAACAGGAUUAGAUACCCUGGUAGUCCACGCCGUAAACGAUGAGUGCUAAGUGUUAGGGGGUUUCCGCCCCUUAGUGCUGCAGCUAACGCAUUAAGCACUCCGCCUGGGGAGUACGACCGCAAGGUUGAAACUCAAAGGAAUUGACGGGGACCCGCACAAGCGGUGGAGCAUGUGGUUUAAUUCGAAGCAACGCGAAGAACCUUACCAAAUCUUGACAUCCUUUGACAACUCUAGAGAUAGAGCCUUCCCCUUCGGGGGACAAAGUGACAGGUGGUGCAUGGUUGUCGUCAGCUCGUGUCGUGAGAUGUUGGGUUAAGUCCCGCAACGAGCGCAACCCUUAAGCUUAGUUGCCAUCAUUAAGUUGGGCACUCUAAGUUGACUGCCGGUGACAAACCGGAGGAAGGUGGGGAUGACGUCAAAUCAUCAUGCCCCUUAUGAUUUGGGCUACACACGUGCUACAAUGGACAAUACAAAGGGCAGCGAAACCGCGAGGUCAAGCAAAUCCCAUAAAGUUGUUCUCAGUUCGGAUUGUAGUCU